rnacentral:rRNA from 1 species
UUUAUGGAGAGUUUGAUCCUGGCUCAGGAUGAACGCUGGCGGCGUGCCUAAUACAUGCAAGUCGAGCGAACGGACGAGAAGCUUGCUUCUCUGAUGUUAGCGGCGGACGGGUGAGUAACACGUGGAUAACCUACCUAUAAGACUGGGAUAACUUCGGGAAACCGGAGCUAAUACCGGAUAAUAUUUUGAACCGCAUGGUUCAAAAGUGAAAGACGGUCUUGCUGUCACUUAUAGAUGGAUCCGCGCUGCAUUAGCUAGUUGGUAAGGUAACGGCUUACCAAGGCAACGAUGCAUAGCCGACCUGAGAGGGUGAUCGGCCACACUGGAACUGAGACACGGUCCAGACUCCUACGGGAGGCAGCAGUAGGG